CCUACGGGGGGCUGCAGUGAGGAAUAUUGCGCAAUGGGGGAAACCCUGACGCAGCAACGCCGCGUGAGUGAGGAAGGUUUUCGGACCGUAAAGCUCUGUCGAGCGGGAAGAAGUGCAUGGUGGCUAAUAUCCAUUAUGCUUGACGGUACCGCUAAAGGAAGCACCGGCUAACUCCGUGCCAGCAGCCGCGGUAAUACGGGGGGUGCUAGCGUUUAUCGGACGCAUUGGGGGUAGGAUACGUGUAAGCGGAAAGCCCUGGGCUUAACCUAGGAAGGGCAUUUGAAACUGUUCAGCUGGAGUAAGGGAGAGGAAAGUGGAAUUCCUGGUGUAGAGGUGAAAUUCGUAGAUAUCAGGAGGAACACCGGUGGCGAAGGCGACUUUCUGGCCCUAUACUGACGCUGAGACGCGAGAGCGUGGGUAGCAAACAGGAUUAGAUACCCUGGUAGUC
rnacentral:rRNA from 1 species